rnacentral:rRNA from 1 species
UACGAAGGGGGCUAGCGUUGCUCGGAAUCACUGGGCGUAAAGCGCACGUAGGCGGCUUGUUAAGUCAGGGGUGAAAUCCCGGGGCUCAACCCCGGAACUGCCCUUGAAACUGGAGAGCUAGAAUCUUGGAGAGGCGAGUGGAAUUCCGAGUGUAGAGGUGAAAUUCGUAGAUAUUCGGAAGAACACCAGUGGCGAAGGCGACUCGCUGGACAAGUAUUGACGCUGAGGUGCGAAAGCGUGGGGAGCAAACAGG